GGCUCAGGAUGAACGCUAGCUACAGGCUUAACACAUGCAAGUCGCGGGGUAACAUCUGGGAGAGCUUGCUCUUCCAGGAUGACGACCGGCGCACGGGUGAGUAACGCGUAUCCAACCUGGCCCAUACCACGGGAUAGCCCGUCGAAAGGCGGAUUAAUACCGUAUGCUGUCAUUAAGAUGCAUAUAUUGAUGACGAAAGGACUGGCGGUAUGGGAUGGGGAUGCGUCUGAUUAGCUUGUUGGCGGGGUAACGGCCCACCAAGGCGACGAUCAGUAGGGGUUCUGAGAGGAAGGUCCCCCACAUUGGAACUGAGACACGGUCCAAACUCCUACGGGAGGCAGCAGUGAGGAAUAUUGGUCAAUGGGCGCAAGCCUGAACCAGCCAAGUAGCGUGAGGGAAGACUGCCCUACGGGUUGUAAACCUCUUUUGUUUGGGAAUAAAGCGCGGGACGUGUCCCGCAUUGCAUGUACCAUUUGAAUAAGGACCGGCUAAUUCCGUG
rnacentral:rRNA from 1 species